rnacentral:rRNA from 1 species
UACGUAGGGUGCGAGCGUUGUCCGGAAUUAUUGGGCGUAAAGAGCUUGUAGGCGGUUUGUCGCGUCUGCCGUGAAAAUCCGAGGCUCAACCUCGGACUUGCGGUGGGUACGGGCAGACUAGAGUGUGGUAGGGGAGACUGGAAUUCCUGGUGUAGCGGUGAAAUGCGCAGAUAUCCGGAGGAACACCGGUGGCGAAGGCGGCUUCCUGGACCGACACUGACGCUGAGGCGCGAAAGCUAGGGGAGCAAACGGG